AGAUUGAACGCUGGCGGCAUGCCUUACACAUGCAAGUCGAACGGUAGAGUAGCAAUACUUGAGAGUGGCGAACGGGUGAGUAAUAUAUCGGAACGUGCCCAGUCGUGGGGGGAUAACGUAGAGAAAUUUACGCUAAUACCGCAUACGAUCUAAGGAUGAAAGCGGGGGACCGUAGGGCCUCGCGCGAUUGGAGCGGCUGAUAUCAGAUUAGGUUGUUGGUGAGGUAAAAGCUCACCAAGCCGACGAUCUGUAGCUGGUUUGAGAGAACGACCAGCCACACUGGGACUGAGACACGGCCCAGACUCCUACGGGAGGCAGCAGUGGGGAAUUUGGACAAGUGGGCGAAAGCCUGAUCCAGCAAUGCCGCGUGCGAGGAAGAAGGUCCGUUACGGGUUAGUAAACUUGGUACCUUUUGGUUAACGGAACGGUAAACGGUCGUCGUACUUUAAUACGAGGUUGGACUAAGUGAACCGGUAACGUAAGAA
rnacentral:rRNA from 1 species